rnacentral:rRNA from 1 species
UACGAAGGGUGCAAGCGUUGUCCGGAAUUAUUGGGCGUAAAGCGCGCGCAGGCGGUUGUUUAAGUCUGAAGUAUAAACCUAGGGCUCAACCUUGGGUCGCUUCGGAAACUGGACGACUGGAGUGCAGGAGAGGAAAGUGGAAUUCCACGUGUAGCGGUGAAAUGCGUAGAGAUGUGGAGGAACACCAGUGGCGAAGGCGACUUUCUGGCCUGUAACUGACGCUGAGGCGCGAAAGCGUGGGGAGCAAACAGG